ensembl:lncRNA CACNA1C-AS2 CACNA1C antisense RNA 2
GACUUGGGAUGAGAGCUCUUCCUUCUACGUUCCAAGAGAGAAGCUUCUUUGGCUUGGUACUGGACUUGGGAUGACAGCUCUGCUUCUCUGAGGGCCGUCCUGACCAGGGCAAACAGGGUGGCAUUGAACAUGACUGUCCCGUCGCUGUUCAGAGGCAUGUUCAUGGAGACCAGGCGCUGCAGGCGAAGAGAAGCAAAGCUGGUGAUGAUGGCAGGCGGUGCUUAGGGGACCGCAGAACACCGUGGCAGAGUGAUAUGGUUUGGCUCUGUGUCCUCGCCCAAAUCUCAUGUUGAAUUGUAAUCCCCAGAAUUGGAGGUGGGGCCUGAUGGAAGGUGAUUGCAUCAUGGGGUGGAUUUCUCAUAAAUGGUUUGGUACCAUCCCCUUGGUGAGUGAGUACUCAUGAGAUCUGCUUGUUUAAGUAAGUGUGUGGUCCCUCCCCCUUCUCUCUUGCUCCCUGUCUGUCCAUGUGACGUACCUGCCUCCCCUUUGCCUUCCACCAUGAUUGAUUGGAAGCUUCCUGAGGCCUCCCCAGAAGCAGAAUGCUAGUGCCAUGCUUCCUGUACAGCCUGCUGAACUGUGGGCCAAUUAAACCUGUUUUCUUAUAAAUUA